AGGAUUCUCCUAGUAACGGCGAGUGAACGGAGAUUAGCCCAUCACCGAAGUCCAUCUGCUUUUGUAGACAGGACAAUGUGGUGUUAGGGUGUGCACCUGGGGUUGCUGACCAACUCGAAGUCGACUUCGAUUACGGCUUGGAAAGUUCCCAAAGCGGGUGAAAGGCCCGUGCGGGUUGGAAUUCAGCGGUCCUCAGAUGUGUGCGCCUACGAGUCGGAUUGCUUGAGAAUGCAGUCCAAAGUGGGUGGUAAACUCCAUCCAAGGCUAAAUACCUGCGUGAGUCCGAUAGUAGACAAGUACCGUGAGGGAAAGUUGAAAAGUACUCUGAAGAGAGAGUAAAUAGUACGUGAAGCCGCUUGCAGGGAAGCUGGUGGAGUCAAGCUUCAUGCCAUUUCAAUUGCUGUCAGAGUCACACGUGAUAGGACGGAGUCGGUCGAAUUUGAAACAUUCGGGCACAUCAUUGUGUUUCAGGGCGCACCAGGUAGUGCGUCUGUGCCGACUCUAUGACCUUGUCUUUGGUAGUGUAUUGGCUUGGCAUAGAUCACGAUGGACAGUCGUCGUUCUGUGUGAUGGUCUAACUGUGUCGUGGCGGGCAGCAAUGCCUGCUCGGUGCAGGACGGCAGGUAGUGCAUGUGGCAUUAGUUGCAUGCACCUAUAGUGGUUUCGACCUGCUGAUCACCACGCUUUGCAGUAUCGACGUUGUCUUUUCUUCCAGGUGGUUGGUCCAUGGACCGAUUGCCAUAAGAGUCGUGAUUCUGAGGUAGA
rnacentral:rRNA from 1 species